rnacentral:rRNA from 1 species
UAACGCGUGAGGAACCUGCCUCAAAGAGGGGGACAACAGUUGGAAACGACUGCUAAUACCGCAUAAGCCCACGGCUCGGCAUCGAGCAGAGGGAAAAGGAGCAAUCCGCUUUGAGAUGGCCUCGCGUCCGAUUAGCUAGUUGGUGAGGUAACGGCCCACCAAGGCGACGAUCGGUAGCCGGACUGAGAGGUUGAACGGCCACAUUGGGACUGAGACACGGCCCAGACUCCUACGGGAGGCAGCAGUGGGGAAUAUUGCACAAUGGGGGAAACCCUGAUGCAGCGACGCCGCGUGGAGGAAGAAGGUCUUCGGAUUGUAAACUCCUGUUGUUGAGGAAGAUAAUGACGGUACUCAACAAGGAAGUGACGGCUAACUACGUGCCAGCAGCCGCGGUAAAACGUAGGUCACAAGCGUUGUCCGGAAUUACUGGGUGUAAAGGGAGCGCAGGCGGGAAGACAAGUUGGAAGUGAAAUCUAUGGGCUCAACCCAUAAACUGCUUUCAAAACUGUUUUUCUUGAGUAGUGCAGAGGUGGGCGGAAUUCCCGGUGUAGCGGUGGAAUGCGUAGAUAUCGGGAGGAACACCAGUGGCGAAGGCGGCCUACUGGGCACCAACUGACGCUGAGGCUCGAAAGUGUGGGUAGCAAACAGGAUUAGAUACCCUGGUAGUCCACACCGUAAACGAUGAUUACUAGGUGU